GCGCUUACUUCAGCAGCACAUAUACUAAAAUGGGAACAAUACAGAGAAGAUUAGCGCUGCGCCUGCACAAGCGUGAUACCAAAGUUUGUGAAGUGUUCCACAUUUAA